rnacentral:rRNA from 1 species
GUGGGGAAUAUUGGACAAUGGGCGAAAGCCUGAUCCAGCCAUGCCGCGUGUGUGAAGAAGGUCUUCGGAUUGUAAAGCACUUUAAGUUGGGAGGAAGGGCAGUAAGUUAAUACCUUGCUGUUUUGACGUUACCGACAGAAUAAGCACCGGCUAACUUCGUGCCAGCAGCCGCGGUAAUACGAAGGGUGCAAGCGUUAAUCGGAAUUACUGGGCGUAAAGCGCGCGUAGGUGGUUUUGUAAGUUGGAGGUGAAAUCCCCUGGCUCAACCUGGGAACUGCCUCCAAAACUGCAUGACUAGAGUACGGUAGAGGGUAGUGGAAUUUCCUGUGUAGCGGUGAAAUGCGUAGAUAUAGGAAGGAACACCAGUGGCGAAGGCGACUACCUGGACUGAUACUGACACUGAGGUGCGAAAGCGUGGGGAGCAAACAGGAUUAGAUACCCCAGUAGUCC